rnacentral:rRNA from 1 species
GGCUUAACACAUGCAAGUCGAGCGGGGGAAGGUAGCUUGCUACCGGACCUAGCGGCGGACGGGUGAGUAAUGCUUAGGAAUCUGCCUAUUAGUGGGGGACAACAUCUCGAAAGGGAUGCUAAUACCGCAUACGUCCUACGGGAGAAAGCAGGGGAUCUUCGGACCUUGCGCUAAUAGAUGAGCCUAAGUCGGAUUAGCUAGUUGGUGGGGUAAAGGCCUACCAAGGCGACGAUCUGUAGCGGGUCUGAGAGGAUGAUCCGCCACACUGGGACUGAGACACGGCCCAGACUCCUACGGGAGGCAGCAGUGGGGAAUAUUGGACAAUGGGCGCAAGCCUGAUCCAGCCAUGCCGCGUGUGUGAAGAAGGCCUUAUGGUUGUAAAGCACUUUAAGCGAGGAGGAGGCUACUUUANAUAAUACCUAGAGAUAGUGGACGUUACUCGCAGAAUAAGCACCGGCUAACUCUGUGCCAGCAGCCNNNGUAANAAAAAA